rnacentral:rRNA from 1 species
GACGGGGCCCGCACAAGCGGUGGAGCAUGUGGUUUAAUUCGAUGAUACGCGAGGAACCUUACCUGGGCUCGAACGCAAGAUGACUGUAGGUGAAAGCUUACAUCUCUUCGGAGCAUUUUACGAGGUGCUGCAUGGUUGUCGUCAGCUCGUGCCGUGAGGUGUCGGGUUAAGUCCCAUAACGAGCGCAACCCUACCUUUAGUUGCCAUCAGGUUAAGCUGGGGACUCUAAAGGAACUGCCUACGCAAGUAGUGAGGAAGGCGGGGAUGACGUCAAAUCAGCACGGCCCUUACGUCCAGGGCUACACACGUGCUACAAUGGCCGAUACAGAGGGCAGCUACCUGGUGACAGGAUGCAAAUCUCCAAAGUCGGUCUCAGUUCGGAUCGGAGUCUGCAACCCGACUCCGUGAAGAUGGAUUCGCUAGUAAUCGCGCAUCAGCCAUGGCGCGGUGAAUACGUUCCCGGGCCUU